UUCGCCCUUAGAGUUUGAUCCUGGCUCAGGACGAACGCUGGCGGCGCGCCUAACACAUGCAAGUCGAACGAGCGAGAGAGAGCUUGCUUUCUCAAGCGAGUGGCGAACGGGUGAGUAACGCGUGAGGAACCUGCCUCAAAGAGGGGGACAACAGUUGGAAACGACUGCUAAUACCGCAUAAGCCCACAGCUCGGCAUCGAGCAGAGGGAAAAGGAGCAAUCCGCUUUGAGAUGGCCUCGCGUCCGAUUAGCUAGUUGGUGAGGUAAUGGCCCACCAAGGCAACGAUCGGUAGCCGGACUGAGAGGUUGAACGGCCACAUUGGGACUGAGACACGGCCCAGACUCCUACGGGAGGCAGCAGUGGGGAAUAUUGCACAAUGGGGGAAACCCUGAUGCAGCGACGCCGCGUGGAGGAAGAAGGUCUUCGGAUUGUAAACUCCUGUUGUUGAGGAAGAUAAUGACGGUACUCAACAAGGAAGUGACGGCUAACUACGUGCCAGCAGCCGCGGUAAAACGUAGGUCACAAGCGUUGUCCGGAAUUACUGGGUGUAAAGGGAGCGCAGGCGGGAAGACAAGUUGGAAGUGAAAUCUAUGGGCUCAACCCAUAAACUGCUUUCAAAACUGUUUUUCUUGAGUAGUGCAGAGGUAGGCGGAAUUCCCGGUGUAGCGGUGGAAUGCGUAGAUAUCGGGAGGAACACCAGUGGCGAAGGCGGCCUACUGGGCACCAACUGACGCUGAGGCUCGAAAGUGUGGGUAGCAAACAGGAUUAGAUACCCUGGUAGUCCACACCGUAAACGAUGAUUACUAGGUGUUGGAGGAUUGACCCCUUCAGUGCCGCAGUUAACACAAUAAGUAAUCCACCUGGGGAGUACGACCGCAAGGUUGAAACUCAAAGGAAUUGACGGGGGCCCGCACAAGCAGUGGAGUAUGUGGUUUAAUUCGACGCAACGCGAAGAACCUUACCAAGUCUUGACAUCCUGCGACGAUGCUGGAAACAGUAUUUUCCUUCGGGACGCAGAGACAGGUGGUGCAUGGUUGUCGUCAGCUCGUGUCGUGAGAUGUUGGGUUAAGUCCCGCAACGAGCGCAACCCUUACUGUCAGUUACUACGCAAGAGGACUCUGGCAGGACUGCCGUUGACAAAACGGAGGAAGGUGGGGAUGACGUCAAAUCAUCAUGCCCUUUAUGACUUGGGCUACACACGUACUACAAUGGCGUUAAACAAAGAGAAGCAAGACCGCGAGGUGGAGCAAAACUCAGAAACAACGUCCCAGUUCGGACUGCAGGCUGCAACUCGCCUGCACGAAGUCGGAAUUGCUAGUAAUCGUGGAUCAGCAUGCCACGGUGAAUACGAACCCGGGCCUUGCACACACCGCCCGUCA
rnacentral:rRNA from 1 species